AAAGUCGUAACAAGGUCUCCGUUGGUGAACCAGCGGAGGGAUCAUUAUAGAGCCUUUUAGACUCCAAACCAGUGUGAAACUACCUUCUGAAAGUGUUGUCUCGGCGGGUUGCCGUGCUGGAAGUCCUCUGUGGCGUCCAGUAUCGGCGUGCCCUGCCUGGCCAGCUAGGCGCCCGCCGGCAGCACCAAACUCUCUCUUUGUUAGCGGGAUCUUACCAUCCCAUCUGAGUGGUACUACAAGAAAACAAGCAAAACUUUCAACAACGGAUCUCUUGGUUCUG
rnacentral:misc_RNA from 1 species